AUGGCGCUCCCAGAUGAACUCCUGGAGGAGAUCUUCCUCCGCCUCGCCGCGGCCGCCGACCUCACGCGAGCCUCAGCGGCGUGCGUCUCCUUCCGCCGCGUCAUCACCGGUCACCCCUUCCUCCGCCGGUUCCGCACCCUCCACGCGCCGCCCCUCCUGGGCAUCCUCUGCGGCGGCCUCAUCCCCGCCCAGCCGCCCCACCCUUCCGCCGCAGCGGCAGCCGCCUUUGCCGACGCCGACUUGUCGUGCUCCUUUCUUCCCCCAUCCCGCGACGGCCGCGCCUGGCGCCACCGCGACGGCCGCGACGGCCGCGCCCUUUUCUCCCCCGCCCUCGAGGGGAUCGGCGGCGACUACAACCCCAGCCACCUGGCCACGGAGUUCGCCGUAUGCGACCCCCUGCACCGUCGCUACCUCCUGCUGCCGGCCCUCCCGGACCUUCUGGUCGGUCAAGUCCAUAGGCCGGACAUCGUGGAGUGCGAGCCCUUCCUCGCUCCUCCUGGCCCUGACGACGUUGGGGCUGACUGGUCGUCAUUCAGAGUCAUGUACUUGGUGCGGUGCACAACCAAGCUCGUCCUCUUCGUCUUCUCUACCUGCGCCGGACAAUGGCUCGCUAAUCCUGUUACAGUUGACGUGUUUCGAUGCGGGGCGGCGAUGCACCGCUUCUAUGCCCAUGGAUGCUUCUGUUGGGAGGUUUUUCGGUCUGACAAGUUGCUCGUGCUCGAUGCGCGCAGGAUAGAGUUCUCCACUAUUGACCUCCCGACUCCACCUGGCCCUGAUGUGCGAAAGAUGGCCAUUGUAGAGGCAGGAGGAGGAAGGCUUGGGAUGCUUACUAUCUCUAAGCAUCCUGAACCUGGUGCAGAUCCUGGUGCAGAUCAUCUCCUGUAUGCCGUACAGUCUAAGGAUGCGAAUGCCACAAACCAGUGGCAGUCCAAGUCAGUAAUUUCUUUGCCGGAAAAUUAUCGCUAUGGCAUCAUGGGUGUAGCUGGUGGAUACUUACUCCUAACUGGGUAUCCACAAGACAAUAGGCCAAUAAGCUAUUUUUCACUGAAUCUCCAGACUUUCCAGCUUGAGUGGUUUUGUCAGACUGGUGAUAAAGUCAUCUUUGGUGACCUGUAUGCCGAUCUCCCACCGUCCUUGUCCCCACCAACUCUUUGA
rnacentral:rRNA from 1 species